AUUAUGGAUAAUUUUAUUUAGAGGAAAAAAUUCUAACAACUGCAUAGAACAACACCUGAUAUAAUCACAAACAAGAAAGACAAAAACAACAUUCUAAAAACGAUUAAAACAUUUCGAAACUGAUGUAAAUACAACAGUGCAAAAUAUAAAUGGCAAAAUGACUAUAAAAACAAUGAUAAAAUAAGAGAAAUAAGAACAAAAUAAUAAAAUAAAUUAUAAACAUUUACAAGAUCCAAGUUAAAAAAAAAUUAGGAUUAUGUUGGUCUGAUAAUGUGUAACUGUAAUGAGAAGAACAAGAACCAAAUGGUUGUUGGAUGCAUGAUGAACUUUUCAAGAUAAAGGUGAGAAAUUUACAGAAGCUAUACUAGCUCACGUAUACAGAUUAACAGAUAUUACAAAAAAAAAAAACACACAAAGUUAUAAAACAAUGUUUCUUCACUCGUUUUGUUUUCUAUUUGGUACAACAUAUUCUCAAGUUUGAGACUCACUCAUUGUUUCCAUUUUACUUAAAGCUGAAGCUCUCUAUUCUGUAUGACUUGAGAAAAAAAGUGGCACUUGAAGUUCUUCUAAGGAAAUGAUUAAAUAUCUUUAGACAUUUAUGCUUUGGUAUGACGACAACAACGACACUGAUGUUGUUUUGGAUUUUUACAUUUGUUAGUUAUACGUUUUUGUUCUUUAAAUACAAACAACUUUAUAUAUUUGUUAGCCAAGUUUAAAACAAAUCAAACAUCUAAAAUAUUGGCCAUUAAAGAAUCUGUUAAAGGAGUAUGAGAAUUUUACACAUUGAAUAGUUCUACAAUAAAAAUACCUUCAAGUUGUAUGUUUCUAGUUCAAGAAACAGAGUUAUUAUUUGUUUGCUAAACUGUGGGAUAAGAAUACGACUAACACAGGAAACAAAAUAUGUAGAUAUGGGCUAAAUUAGAACUGAUCUAUAAAUGAAUUAUAACUAAACAAAAACUGAACCAGAACAGAACUAGAAGUGAACUAAAACUGAACUAGAACUGAACUAGAACUGAACAAGA